rfam:Oblitimonas alkaliphila strain E5571 chromosome.
UGAGCUUUAAACCGCGCUCAUUAUUGAGUGGCAGCACCGUCUGCACCGAACCCUUACCAAAGCUGUCGGUUCCCAUCACCACUGCUCGUUUAUGAUCUUGUAAAGCACCUGCCACAAUUUCUGAUGCAGAAGCACUGCCACCGUUAAUUAACACCACAAUUGGUACUCGGUGGCUGUAUUGCUUUUGCGUAGCGCUAAAGCUCAGGUCACUGUUAGGGAAGCGCCCCUUGGUGUACACAAUAAGACCACUAUCAAUAAAUAAGUCGGUUACCUCAACCGCCGCUUGUAACACCCCGCCCGGGUUAUUGCGGAG